UUGCUUCGGCAGCAAGUAUACUAAAACUGGAACAAUACAGACAAGAUUAGCAUGGCCCCUGUGCAAGGAUGACACGCAAAUUUGUGAAGCGUUUAAUUAAAAA
ensembl:snRNA U6 U6 spliceosomal RNA